rnacentral:rRNA from 1 species
GGAUGAGCCUGCGUCAGAUUAGCUUGUUGGCGGGGUAAUGGCCCACCAAGGCGACGAUCUGUAGCUGGUCUGAGAGGACGACCAGCCACAUUGGGACUGAGACACGGCCCAAACUCCUACGGGAGGCAGCAGUGGGGAAUAUUGGACAAUGGGGGAAACCCUGAUCCAGCGAUGCCGCGUGUGUGAAGAAGGCCUGCGGGUUGUAAAGCACUUUCGAUGGGGAAGAAAGAGUCAAGGCUAAUAUCCUUGAAUGUUGACGUUACCCAUAUAAGAAGCACCGGCUAACUCUGUGCCAGCAGCCGCGGUAAUACAGAGGGUGCAAGCGUUAAUCGAAGUUACUGGGCGUAAAGCGUGCGUAGGCGGAUACUUAAGUCGGGUGUGAAAGCCCCGGGCUCAACCUGGGAAUUGCAUUCGAUACUGGGUACCUAGAGUAUGGUAGAGGGAAGUGGAAUUUCCGGUGUAGCGGUGAAAUGCGUAGAUAUCGGAAAGAACAUCAGUGGCGAAGGCGGCUUCCUGGACCAAUACUGACGCUGAAGUACGAAAGCGUGGGGAGCAAACAGGAUUAGAGACCCUGGUAGUCCACGCUGUAAACUUUAAGAACUAGGCGUUAAUGCUGUUAUGCAGCAUUAGUGCCGAAGCUAACGCGUUAA